AAAAGACAAAUUAUUUUGAAAAUAUCUGUCACCAGACAACUUAAACUGCAAAAGUUUAAAAAAAAGGCGAUAUUAUGAAGGUUAUAUUUUUACAUAUUCAACUCCAGAUCAUUCUGGUUCCUUUUAGUUUGACCAUUUUUGAUAGAUAUUGAAAAAUAAUAUCAGCUACAAUCAUUUAUUUUUCAACAGGAGACAUCACCUAGACAUAUAUUUUACUAUGUUUAAUCAAGCAUGUUCUCAAAAGGUGCCGUUUGUAAAGUUACAGAAUCAAAAUUAAAAGCAAAAAGUUUAUAUUUAGCUUGUCAUAAGAAGGAAAAAUACACAUUUUCUCAAAGUCACAUUUUCACCACGUUAUUCGUUCAUAUAUUAAGAUUACAGUACAAAACUAAGCUCAGGUAGCAAGCUAAAUAUUUACCACUAACCUAAAUAAUUAGCUCAAUUUAAUUAGUAAGCUAAAUAUUCACUAAUAUUUAGAUCUCUCAAUAUUAGUAAGCUAACAUUUAGCUUACUAAUAUUUACUAGCUAAUUAGCUUACUAUUAAGCUAGUAAGCUAAGUAUUUAGCUUAUCGGUGAAAUAUUUGUUCUGAGCUAAAUAUUAGCAGGUUAACAAGCUAAAUAUGUUUUUUUACAAACUGUUUAGUUUAACUAAAUAUUAGUAAGUUAGCCAGCUAAAUAUUAAGCUCCCAAACUUAUAGUUAGCUCAUAUUAACAAGUUAGCAAGCUAAAUAUUUCGCUCCAAGCUAAAGUUUUAGCAAGUUGGCAUGCUAAAUAUGUUGUUUACAAACUAUUUAGCUAAAUAUUUAACAACCAAGCUAUAUAUUUAAUUUAUGUUUAGCUCCAAGCUAAAUAUUAGCAAAAUAUUAGCACAUUAGUGAGCUUAUAUGCUAAUAUUUAGGUAGGUUGUUUCUUACAAGCUAUAAAGCUAUUUAGCUUGUAAGCUCCGAACUAAAUAUUUAAAUGUCAAACUAAAUAUUCAUCUUCAUUCUAAAUGUUUCCCAGCAGACUGACUAAAGACAUGUCUCCCUCUUCCUCGUCUAUCAGACCUUCUCUGCUCCUGCAGCAGGUUCC